AUAAAAGUCGUAACAAGGUUUCCGUAGGUGAACCUGCGGAAGGAUCAUUAUAAAUGGCUCUGAUAUAAGAGCACUUAAUAAUCCUACCCUUUGUGAAUUUGUUGUUUGAAAUAAUUUUUUUUAAAAUUAUUGAUUGUCUUUCCCUGUUGAAUUGGUUGUCCUUUUGGACGGUUGAUUCGCAGGGAUAGUCAGUAAUUUUAAAAAGACCUUUUUUAAAAUUAACUUUGUGUAUUCAUUUGUCUAAAUUAUUUUAUAAUAUAAAACAACUUUGACAAUGGAUCUCUUGGUUCGCAACGAUGAAGAACGCAGCAAAAUGCGAUAAGUAGUGUGAAUUGCAGAAUACGUGAAUCAUCGAAUCUUCGAACGCAUAUUGCACUUUUUAGUUACUAAAAAGUAUGUCUGUUUGAGUAUCAGUAAAUAUCUCAUAAAACUUUUGUUUUUAUGGUUAUGAGUGUUUACAACGAUACAAGUUGUUUCACUUUAAAUUUUUAAAAUUUGAAUUUUUUUCUAAUUUUAAAUAAAAUUGGAUAAAAUUUUCCCGUAAAAAGGAAUAACCUAAACAAUUUACUUAUUUAGAAGAAAUUUCAACCAAAGGAAAACUAACAAAUAACUUGAUCUCAAUCAGAUAAGAGUACCCGCUGAACUUAAGCAUAUCAAUAAGCGGAGGAAAAGAAACUAACAAGGAUUCCCUUAGUAACGGCGAGUGAAGCGGGAAGAGCUCAAAUUUGAAAUCUUCAAGGUUUUACCUUGACGAAUUGUAGUUUAAAGAAGUGUUUCUGUUGAAGUUUUGGUAAAGUUCUUUGGAAUAGGACAUCAUAGAGGUGAGAAUCCCGUAUUUGACAUUAUUUCAGCUGUGUGAUACCUUUCAAGAGUCGGAUUGUUGGGAAUGCAGUCCAAAAUGGGUGGUAAUUUCAUCUAAGCUAAAUUGGCGAGAGACCGAUAGCGAACAAGUACCGUGAGGAAAGAUGAAAGAACUUUGAAAGAGAGUUAAACAGUACGUGAAAUUGUCAAAGGGAGCGUUUGACACAGUGUUGUUUCUCGAAAAUCAAUUAAAAAUGGCUGGAUUCUGUUGUAUUGACCUUAACAGCUUUCUUCACUUUUUCCUGUCUUUUUAAUGCACCUUUCGUGUAACAAGUCACAUCAGUUUCUUUGUUGUAAAAGGGUCAUUGGAGGUGGCUUCUUUUCGGAGAAAGUGUUUAUAGCCUUCGAUCUCUGCAAUCGAGAGACUGAGUCUGCAGCGUAGACUCUUCGGGGUUAGAUACAUUUGUGCUAAGUUAUAGCUUUUCAUAGACAACUGUUGACUAUGUUAUCUUGUAGCUUACUCGCUUAUGCUAUUUACCUA
rnacentral:misc_RNA from 1 species